AAGGAUGAAAGAUGUGUUUUGAAAAUGCCACGUGACUACCGUCCUCCUCCCUCCCGGAUCAGUCCGCAUGUUCAUGGCGCCAGCAUUUGUUAUGGAAUAUAUUGAGCAAACCUGGAGAUAUUAUUGUUGUCAUUGCUGUGGAUCUUUACUGACUUGGCUCGGGACCAGCACUCCUGUUGUUGGACAGAAAGACAUCAACUCAGUGACUUGAGAUGUGACUGCACGAUGCUGUUGCUUCGACUCCAGUUAAUUCUACAAGACAUGCUGUGACACCAGGAGAGAUGAGUCCUCCGUCACAGAU